AAACAAAUAUUUAGUAGUAUUACAUAUUUUUUUAUUAUAUAUACAUACACACACACACAAAUAUAUAUAUUUCAUGUCAAGUGAGCCACCCCAUUUUCGUCAGGUCAGAAUUUUUUUUUUACCUAACGCGACUUAAAAUUGUCCUUGUCAUCUCUACUUUAUUUUAAAAGUUCAAGUGAACAAAUUCAAAGAUGGCGCAAUUCGAUCUUUCUCGAGAUUCAGAGCAUGAGCUCUAUUCUCCACGUAUCUAGAUGAUGUCAAGGAACUAAUCUAACGAGUUUGGGGGUUAAGAAUUCAAGAUGUAAGGGUUGGAGAUUUUAUUAAGGUUUACUUAAAAAAAAUAUUUUUUAUAAUUUAAAAAUUUUUUUCUAUUUUUCGUCAGCUAUAGUAAAUAGAACAUUUUAGUUUUUGAAAAUCUGACUACGGAUUUGUAAUCGAAGACCCAGGAAAUCCCCGUAUACUGAUUUUUAUGGAAUUUUGAAAUUUUUCAGUUUUUUGUUUGCCAUAUUGGAUCGGCCAUUUUGUACACGUAUACAGGUCGACCAUUGUGUUUACAUCGCUAUCAGUUUAGUCAUAGACUUACUAGAAUAGACUGCUCAUGAAGAUAGUAGCUUUGACUAUAAAAAUCUGGACUGCUAGUUGCCUAGGUUUUUGUGUAAUGGAGAUGAAACGCGCCUCCAAUUUUAAAGUGGCAGAAAUUGGAAACAUUAAGCAAGAUUCCGAUGGUAAAAGAUGAAGAAAGAGAGAGACAGAAUGAGUCAUUCGUCGCUGUUUUAUCAAUUUCUUGCAAAUUACCAAAUAUGCAUUUAAAAAAUUGGUGUAAAUAAAGACUGAAUUAGUUUUAUAAAUAUAUAUAUUUAUGCAGGUAUUUAUGCAGGUAUUUCUGCUAAUAUCUCCAUAAUAAAAGUAGAAGUAAUGCAAUUAAAAAAUUUUGUUUCUUUUAAUUAAUUUCUAAUUUUAUUAUGGGAAUAUAUUAGCAGGAUAUGCAUAAAUAUAUAUGUUUAUGACAUUAAUUCAACCUUUAUUUGCGUUAAUUUUUUUAAUGCAUUCGGUAAUUUGCAAAAAGUUGAUAAAACAGCGACAAAUGACUCAUUCUGCCUCUCUCUUUCCUCAUCUUUUACCAUCGGGAUCUUGCUUAAUCUGCCACUUUAACAUUGGGAGCGCGCUUCAUCUUUAUUACACAAAAACCUUUUGCUUUAGGCAAUUAGCAGUCCAGACUUCUAUAGUCAAAGAGUAGUAGUGGUAUCCGUCAUUGAAAAAAGGAUAACUGUCGUUAAUGUAAGUUGCUAUCUCUUUCUAAUACAGAACAGUGGGGAAGCAUAGCGACCAAUAACGGUGUCACAGUAUGCGCGCUACGCAUACUAUGAUACACGCUCACACUCUGACACCGUUAUUAGUCACUAUGCUUCCCCAUUAUUCUGCAUUAGAAAGAGAUAGCAACUCAUAUUAACGACAGUUAUCCUUUUCUCAAUGACGGAUACCCCCACUACUAUUUUUCCACCUCAUAAGCAGUCUAUUCUAGUAGUCAUACAUCAUGUUGGUUGCCAGCAGAGUUUCUUUCCAUCAGUAGAAACUGGAAAAACCGAUAUUACGUUAAUUUUAUCUAAGCAUUCUAAGCUAUGAAUUGUAGCCGCCAUAUUGAUUUCAUCAUUUAAAAUUCCAUGUAGCACAUAUUUACAAUCGAAAUCAGUAUCACGAUCCCAGCCACUUUCCAACGUUAAACAUUAUUCAUUUUGAAAAUAUUGACGAAUACAUUUGAAAGAACGGAGUCCAUACUCCAAAUUUCGGGAAAGAUUGAAGCGCCAUUUUUGAACCCGUUAAGAUCACAACUUGAAAUUUUAGGGAAAUAAAGUAGAGAUGGCAAGAAAAAUUUUAAACCGCGUUAGAUAAAAAAAAUAUUCAACCUGAUGAAAAUGGGCUCGACAUGAAAUGCUCUAUAUACAUAUAUUGUAUAUACACACACGUGCGCGCGCGCACGUACACAACUCUGCAUAAGUAUUUUCUUACUCUUUAAAAAUUGAAAAAAAUUUCUAAUUCCCUAGAUUUUCUUAACCCCUUGACCGUUAUGUUAAAAAAUCGUUUAUGUGCCAAGAAUGCUCCUGAAAGAGAAAAGACUGAGAUAGUAAAUAAGUUACUUUCUGGAAAUUUUAAGAAUCGCUGAAUACAAAAAUAGAAAUAGAAUUUCAAAAUUUUUAUUUAAUAAUUAAAUAUGGCGAAUUCAAAUUUGAUACAGUUUGAUGAAUUUAAGUCAGAAAUAUAACAGUUUCAUCUCAAUAUUGUCUUAAAAUUUCUGCCUGGUUUUCAAAGCUGAAGAUUAUGGAUCUGACGUCAGAUUUCGUUGAUUUAAUAUAGCUGAUCCAAUAUGGCAAAUAAAUAUUGGAAGAAAUGAAAUUUUCCAGAAACAUGUACCCAAAUUAGAAACAUAAAAAUACCAAUUCCAGUAAUUUUUAUAAACUCAUCAAACAUUAAACAGAAAUCACUUGAAUCAACAUAAGAAAAUGCCCGUGAUAUCCCGCUAUGAAGUUUGUGUCAUUUUUUGUUAUGACGGGAUAUCCCGUCAUUAACAGUCAAGAGAUUACUAGCUGAGAAAAAGUUAUCGGCCAACAGGCGUAGGUGGUGCAGACCAACUUUCAAAGACGCACACAAAGCACAAUUUUCAACGAAUUUAUAUAAACAUUUUUUUUACUUUCAAUGUAUAAUAAAAAUAAAAAACUUCGAAGUCA
rnacentral:lncRNA from 1 species